UGAACUUGCUGUAGAAACUUUUCUAUCAAAUGAGGUUGGAAUGCACUGGUGCAAAAAUGGCUCACUGCAGCCUUGAUCUCCCAAGCUCAAGCAAUCCUCCCACCUCAGCCUCCCACAUAGCUGGGACUACAGGUCAAGUCGUACCGAGAUCAUUUGAGAACC